UCUGACCUACGGGGCGCAGCAGUUAGGAAUAUUCGUCAAUGGGGGAAACCCUGAACGAGCAAUGCCGCGUGAACGAUGACGGUCCUCUGGAUUGUAAAGUUCUGUUGUUUGGGAAGAACGGCUCUAAUAGGAAAUGAUUAGAGAUUGACUGUACCAUUCAAGAAAGCCACGGCUAACUACGUGCCAGCAGCCGCGGUAAUACGUAGGUGGCAAGCGUUAUCCGGAAUUACUGGGUGUAAAGGGUGUGUAGGCGGGGCUGCAAGUCCG
rnacentral:rRNA from 1 species